CCUACGGGAGGCAGCAGUAGGGAAUUUUCGGCAAUGGGGGGAACCCUGACCGAGCAACGCCGCGUGAACGAAGAAGUUAUUCGUAAUGUAAAGUUCUUUUAACAGGGAAGAAAGAGAAAUUUGACGGUACCUGAAGAAUAAGCUCCGGCUAACUACGUGCCAGCAGCCGCGGUAAUACGGAGGGAGCGAGCGUUAUCCGGAAUGAUUUGGCGUAAAGGGUGCGUAGAUGGCAUAGUAAGUCUUUUGUAAAAAUGCUGGGCUCAACCCAGUAGGGCAAAAGAUACUGGAAAGCUAGAGUAUGACAGAGGCAAGUGGAACUACAUGUGUAGCGGUAAAAUGCGUAAAUAUAUGUAAGAACACCAGUGGCGAAGGCGGCUUGCUGGGGCGAUACUGACAUUGAGGCACGAAAGCGUGGGGAGCGAACAGGAUUAGAUACCCUUGUAGUC
rnacentral:rRNA from 1 species